UACGAGAGGCCCAAACGUUAUUCGGAAUUACUGGGCUUAAAGAGUUCGUAGGCGGCAUUGCAAGUAGGGUGUGAAAGCCCUCGGCUCAACCGAGGAAUUGCGCUCUAAACUGCAGUGCUUGAGGAACCUAGAGGUGAGCAGAACAGAUGGUGGAGCGGUGAAAUGCGUUGAUAUCGAGAGGAACACCUGCGGCGAAGGCGGGUAGCUGGGCCGACACUGACGCUGAGGCGCGAAAGCCAGGGGAGCGAACGGG
rnacentral:rRNA from 1 species